AACGAACGCUGGCGGCGUGCUUAACACAUGCAAGUCGAGCGAGAAAGCACCUUCGGGUGUGAGUACAGCGGCGAACGGGUGAGUAACACGUGGGCAACCUGCCUCAGAGACUGGGAUAACGUCCCGCAUGGGACGCUUAUACCGGCUGAUGCGCGAUCUGCCAAGUAGGUCGCGCCAAAUGGUAGAUUCGGCUUCUGAUUUGGGAUGGGACCGCGCCGGAUUAGCUUGUUGGUGAGGUACCGGCUCAUCAAGGCGGCGAUCCGUAGCUGGUCUGAGAGAACGAGCAGCCACACUGGGACUGAGACACGGCCCAGACUCCUACGGGAGGCAGCAGUGGGGAAUCUUGCGCAAUGGGCGAAAGCCUGACGCAGCAACGCCGCGUGAGCGAAGACGGCCUUCGGGUUGUAAAGCUCUGUCAGGAGGGACGAAGCCACUCAGGUGAAUAGCCGAGAGGGUGACGGUACCUCCAGAGGAAGCCCCGGCUAACUACGUGCCAGCAGCCGCAGUAACAC
rnacentral:rRNA from 1 species